GACCACAGUGCUUAUGGCAUUAUGUCUGUGUGAUUUUUUUCUCCUCUACUGGCUUAUGAGCCCCUCAGGGACAUAAACUGAGACUUCUUGUUUAUGCUUGUGUAACAGAGUGUGUGGCCCAGGGUUGGCACCAGUAUCUGUCUGCAGAAUGGAUAAGUAAGAUCUAUAAUGUCACAGGAGGCAAACUGGUGGAUGUGGGCU
rnacentral:lncRNA from 1 species